CUCCCCCAAACUUCAAGCGGGGAAAACUGACAAAUUUCAUCACACUGACGAGCCACAGCAACAGUAACAGGUGUUACAGCUCCUGCCUUAACUCCUCUCUACAGGAUUGUUUUGGAGGGUGAACAACAGAGAGGCCAGGUUGAAAGAAUCUGAAGUGGACCUGGGGUAAAAACAACGCUGCGGCUCUAUUGAAGAGGCUGACUCACUCUGAAACAGACUGACAGCCAGUGAUUGCCACUAUUUGCAGAAUACAUCUCAUCACUGACAACCAGGUCUCCUCACCUCUCAGUCUGUCCUCUUACCUGAUUAAGUUUGCCGGCUGCAUGCGCAUAGAGGACAGUCAGCUGGAGUUCAGAGAGUAUCAACCCCUUUGGACAAGGAUGGGACUUGAACUGAACUGAACGGAACUGAACUGAACUGAACUGGACCUGAGCUUGGAAACAAAGCAGGACUGACUGAUAUGGUUUUCCUGAAUUCUGCACUGCAUUUUACAGUCUCUGUCCCUGGGUCGAGCCCUACGCGCUUGUAGAGGGAUCUUUUGAACAAGCUCUGGUUGGCGUAAUAGAUCGGAGCCUCGUAUCUGAAAACAGCCACUCCUGGAUGCGUCUGAAGGCCGCGGUAAGAUGACAG